CUGAAUUUGUUUUCUCGUUGGGAAAAGUGGUCAUUAAAGUAUUAGUUUAGGUUGAUUGGUUCUUCAGCGGCAGAAGAGGCUUCUGAUGCUUUGUUAUCUUUGACAUGAUCUCAAAACAGUGGCCUGAUUAUUAUACAAUAUAGAAAUAAUAACUUGAGGCAGCAGCUUCUUUUUGGAAGCCCACGCGGGGGUGCUGGUAUUUUCAUGGGUGCUGAUGGGGCCUGAGUGCCUGGCCAGAUCCCUGGAUGUGAUGCAGAACUUCCCCUCCCUGCUCUGGCCACCAAGCCCCCCUCCCACGGACCUGAAUUCUCCCCCUGUCGUUGAGGCUGCUGAGCACUUGUCUCCUUUAUAUCAACCAGUGGCGCAUUCACUAAGAAGAAUGGGAACAGGGAGAGGGCUGGCUUUGAUGUUUCCAGGGGCAGGAAAUCACCCGGAGCAUUCUUCCAGGGCCACUUGGCAGCAGGUAGAGGGUGUGACAGCUGGUGGGAAGGUCGGCAACUGGGAUGUGGCCGCUGAACCGUAGCCGGGAAUUAUGCGGCCCUUGCAAACGGAAAAGUUUAUUCCUAUAGUCUGGUGGGGGGUAGGGGUGAGGGAGAAAGAUCAGAGGGCCCGGCACAUACCACCUGGGAAAAAGAGAAUUCAAAGUUAUCAAAUAACAUGUCGGAAGCUUUCAUUACUUUUCAAGACCAGUUGGCCCAAGAUGUCAAGUCCAAUCUAAAGAGAAGGCGUGAUUGUCAAUACUCAACAGGUGGGAUUGCAUGGGGGUUAAUCCAUGGGCCUCAACUCUGGACUUGAAGCAUCUCUUUGCCCAUCUGUUAAGAUAGUCUGUAACGAGUUUAUUGUGAGAAAUUAUUACAUACUCACCACGUGCCAAACACUAUGCAUAGCACUUGACAUGCGUUAUCUUAUUUCCUAGUCACAACGCCAUGGCAUGUUUAUUAUUAAAUGCCCCCCUUUCUCAUAAGGAAAUGGGUGUAAAGAGUUGAAGUAAGUGAUCCAGAGUCAUGCAGCUGGUAAGGAAGCCAAGAUUCAAAUCCAGUCAGUCCAAACUCUAGAGCACUAUUAGCCAUCACUUAGGAAUUAAAUCAAAUAACACAGGAGUUCCUGUUGUGGCGCAGUGGUUAAUGGAUCCGACUAGGAACCAUGAGGUUGCAGGUUCGAUCCCUGGCCUUGCUCAGUGGGUUAAGGAUCCAGCGUUGCCGUGAGCUGUGGUGUAGGUUGCAGACGCGGCUCGGAUCCCACGUUGCUGUGGCUGUGGUGUAGGCCGGCGGAUACAGCGCCAAUUAGACCCCUAGUCUGGGAACCUCCAUAUGCCUCAAGAGUUGCCCAAGAAAUGGCAAAAAGACCAAAAAAAAAAAAAAAAUCGAAUUAAUACAUAAAUUGAUUCUGGUCCGAGAUACUCAGCAAGAAUACGGAUCAUUCAUUUUACUUUGCCAACACUAUUAUUAAACUCCCCCGGUUGCUUUGUCCAAAUGGAAAAAAAAGUAUGUGACCAUACCUCAAGAAAUGAAAGGGCUUUAUGAAAGCAAACAGAUAAAAGGACAUUAUGAUCCUUGGAGCCGACACACAGGAAAAUCAGCAACAUUUCUUGAUUUGCAAAUUCCAUGGACUCCCCCAGGGAAUAAAGGGAAUGAAGGGUCAUGGGAAUGGGGGCUCAUUUCUAGAGGGAGCUCAGCCAUGAGGUCUGGAGGAAAGACACUGGCGUCACCUGCACCUUAGCUGCAUGGAGCUGGGGAUGUGGGUGACCAUCAAGAGGGGGGACGGGGUGCUGACAGACAAUCCCGUGAGCUAAGGGAAGCCGCCUGGGUACAUGCUCGCCGCCGUACAUGCUCACAGGCACUCAAGCUUCCCCCACUCCUCUCUGAAGCCCCCAAGGAAUCAAGUGUCACUGCCAUCUGCAAAUUCUUAGGGAGAUUCAGAGGCUUAAUUAAAAACCCUCCUUCAUUUGCUUAUUGGAUUAGUAUUUACCGAGAACCUUCUAUGUGUUGAGCACAGCCAGGCACGCAGCAAAUGAAACCGGCUGACUAGGUCCCUGACGUGUAAUAGAGUAAGCGAUCUAGACUGAAGGUGGGGAGCUAGGUUGUCACGAGUGCUGCAGGAGGGCUGGGCAGGCCAGGGGUGACCUGGUCUGAUUGAAGGAAGGGAGAGGUGGGCUGGGAGGGAGUGGGACCCUGGAAGUCUCUUCAGAGGAGAUGCCGGGUGGUCCUAUCAGCAAAGUUCUUCAAACUGAAUUUGGUUCUGCUGUGUGUAUGGUAGAAAACUCUGGAACACAGUGCUGUCUCCGAUGCUACAGAGGACACACACAAAAAGAAGGAAGAAACAGUAUCCUUCACCCUUGAGAGCUUAAAAUAUGACAGCAAAUCCAAAGAAGCGUCAACAAAAUAAUGAGAUGGACAAAGCAACACAACCACGACUCUGGCUUUAUAACUUCGUACAACUCCGUGACUUUUCAAACACCCGGAAGCAACCAAGAGUGGGUAUUGAUCGUUGAGCAAUGUGUGAUGGCCGUGGACUCCUGGGAGACUGGGGAACAUUACUGAAUGUGUCCACUUAGGGCACACCUACCAAGAGCACUGGGGUCAAGAGCCAUUGUUCUCCACUACAAACCAGCUCCACCAUCAGCUGUUUGCACUUGGGCAGGCCUCCUGGCCUCUCAGAGACCACACUGCCUCACUGCAAAAUGGAGAUAGAAUGACACCUAUUUCUAGGCUUGAGAUGAGGAUGAAAUGGGAUAAAGCAAGAAAAUGCUGGGACCAAAGUCCGCUAAGAGUAAGCUCUCAGUGGUGAUAGUGAACUUAUGGAAUGUUGAUUAUUUACAACUGUUUAUUUUUCAAUAAAUGUAUAUAAUAAAAAUUAAUAUUACUCACAAGCUGGGUGCCAAGGCAACUCUUGCUGUGUUCCAGUCAUUAUUCUAGCCACAUGGUGUGUUUUGACUCAUUUGAUCCCUACAACAAUACUAUCAGAGAGAUAUUAUUACCCUCCUUUUACAGAUAAGGAAACAAGCACAGAGAGGUUAAAUAAUUUACUCAAGGUCACACAGCAGAGCCAGGAUUCAAACCCAGGCAGUUUGGUUUAGCCUGCACUCCUAACCAGUCUGCAAUGCUGCUUCAUAUCAUCAUGAAUAAGAUAUAGUCCUUGAGAAGAAAAUUUUAAAGUAAGCUGGCUUAUGAUAAGACUCAGGAGAGAGGAGAUGGGAUUAAGAUGGCAGAAUAGAAGGACUGGAGCUCAACUUCUCUUCUAAAAACAACAAAAAUUCACAACUAAAGAGUGAGCAGUCUCCACCCAAAUGGACCUGAAACCCCAUACCCUACUCCAGAAGAAAAAGAGGAGGCCACAUCAAGAGGUAGGAGGGGUGAUUUCGUGAUAUAAACAACCCCAUACCUCCUGGGUGGGAAGCUCCACAGACUGGAAACUAACUGGUUCACAGAGACUCACCUACAGGAGUGAGAGUUCUGAGCCCCACAUCAAACUCUCACAUGUGGGGAUCUGGCACUGGGAGAAAGAGCCCCUGGAGUAUCUGGCAUUGAAGGCCAGUGGGGCUUGUGUGCAGGAGCUCCACAGGACUGGGGGAAAUGGAGACCCCAUUCUUAAAAGGCGCACACAGACUUUCACGUGCACUGAGUCCCAGGGCAAAGCAAAGUCUCCAAGGGAAUCUGGGUCAAACCUGACCGCAGUUCUUGGAGGACAUCCUGGGAAAACAGGGGUGAAUGUGGCUUGUUGUGAGGGAAGGACAUUGAAGGCAAAGCUCUCAGGAAUAUUCAGCAGUUGCCUUUCUCUGGAGGUGGCCAUUUUGGGAAAAUCUGGCCCUACCCAUCAGCCAGCUGCUGAGAAGCCCCAGGGCAAACAACAAUCCAGGUGGGAUCACAGCCACACCCCUCAGUAAACAGGCUACCUAAAGACACCUCAGGCACACAGCUGCCUCUAAUCCCAUCCAAAGACUAAGCCCCACCCACCAGAGGGAUUAGAAUCAACAACUCCUACCAGGGGGCAGGCAUCAGCCCCUCCCAUCAGGAAGCCUACAGCAAGCCGCCUACCAACUUCAACCACAAGGGGGCAGACAUCAGAAGUAAGAGAGGCUACAACUCUAUUAUCUGUAAGAAGGUCGCCACACCAAAAACCUAUAAAAAUGAAAAGACAGAGGACUAUAACUCAGAUGAGGGAGAAAGGAAAAACCCCAGAAAAUCAGCUAAGCCAUGAGGAGAUUCUCAGCCUCCAGGAAAAAGACUUUAGACUGUCGAUGCUGAAGAUGAUGCAAGACAUUGGAAAUAAACUGGAGGCAAAGAUGGAUAACUUACAGCAAACACUGACCAAAGAGAUACAAGAUAUAAAACAUAAACAAGAAGAGAUGCAAAAUACAGUAACAGAAAUAAAAAAUGCACUAGAAGCAGCCAACAGUAGAAUACAGGAGGCAGAAGAACGACUAAGUGAGGUGGAGGACAGAUUAGUGGAAAUUACAGAUGCAGAACAGAAAAGAGAAAAAAGAUUGAAAACAAAUGAAGAGAGUCUCAGAGAACUCUGGGACAAUGUUAAACGCACCAACAUCCGUAUUAUAGGGGUGCCAGAAGGAGAAGAGAGGAAGAGACAGAAAAAAUAUUCCAAGAGAUAAUAGCUGAAAAUUUCCCUAACGUGGGAAAGGAGUCACUCACUCAAAUCCAGGAAGCACAACGAGUACCAUAUAAAAUAAACCCAAGGAGGAAUACACUGAGACACAUACUAAUCAAACUGACCAAAAUUAAAGACAAAGAGAAAACCUGAAAGCGGCUGGGGAAAAGAAACAAGUAACAUACAAGGGAACCCCAAUAAGGUUAUUGGCAGAUUUUUCAGCAGAAACUCUGCAGGUCAGAAGGGAGUGGCAUAAUAUACUUAAAGUGAUAAAAGGAAAAAACCUCCAACCAAGAUUACUCUACUCAGCAAGGCUCUCAUUCAGAUUUGAAGGAGAAAUCAAAACCUUCUCAGAUAAGCAAAAGCUGAGAGAAUUCAGCAACACUAAACCAGCCUUACAACAGAUACUAAAGGAACUUCUAUAGGCAGAAAAGAA
rnacentral:lncRNA from 1 species